GGCCGCCGCCGCCAGCACACGCGCAGGCGCAGGAUCCGACUACCACUCAAAAGGAGGUGCACCCAUCGAACGCCCUGAAGAGAGCUGAAGGUGAGUAGAUGGGACUUGCUCGAUUUCACCUGCAGCGAUGUUUUUUUUUUUGACUGGAUCUGCAGCGAUGCUGAUUCUUGCUGUUGUGGUAGUGCUGUAGUGAUGCCUCCUUUUGAGUGGUAGUUUCCCAUGAGUUCUAUGGAUUUGCCGAUCGAAACACAGAGCAGGUAGGCUGGAGCUCCAGUACCAAGACUGCAGACAGGGCAUUCUUCUUGAAUAGAGCUGAGAAGAGUCAACUAUUUCAGCAGCAAGGCAUUACCAUAAGCAUUGGAGAAGUAACUUCCACAAUGAAGCCCAUUGUUCGUGAGAUAUGGCAAAUCCCACAAAGAGUAAAGAAGCUAAUAGAGCUCUUACCUCAUCAAGAGAUUUGUAGAGCACCACUGAGGUGAUUGUAAAAAAGAAAGAAACUUUGGGGGCAAGGUAAAUCACAUAAUCAAGCUAACUGCGAUUUUCUGGGGCAU